UCCCUGGUAGUAUAUCGGCUAGUACACCCGCCUGUCAUUCACUUACGGACCGCGGGAGAGCGGGGUUCGACUCCCCGCCAGGGAG